CAGCAGCCACGGUAAUACGUAGGGUGCAAGCGUUAAUCGGAAUUACUGGGCGUAAAGCGUGCGCAGGCGGUUUUGUAAGACAGAGGUGAAAUCCCCGGGCUCAACCUGGGAACUGCCUUUGUGACUGCAAGGCUAGAGUACGGCAGAGGGGGAUGGAAUUCCGCGUGUAGCAGUGAAAUGCGUAGAUAUGCGGAGGAACACCGAUGGCGAAGGCAAUCCCCUGGGCCUGUACUGACGCUCAUGCACGAAAGCGUGGGGAGCAAACAGGAUUAGAUACCCGAGUAGUCCCUGUCUCUUAUAC
rnacentral:rRNA from 1 species